GGCACGCCUAACACAUGCAAGUCGAACGAAGUAGCAAUACUUAGUGGCAGACGGGUGAGUAACAUGUGGGUAUCUGCCCUUUGGCCUGGAAUAACACGAGGAAACUUGUGCUAAUACCGGAUAAGUCUUUACGGAGAAAGCUUUAUGCACCAUUGGAUGAGCCCGCACUUGAUUAGUUAGUUGGUAGGGUAAUGGCCUACCAAGACUGUGAUCAAUAGCUGAUUUGAGAGGGAUGAUCAGCCACAUUGGGACUGAGACACGGCCCAAACUCCUACGGGAGGCAGCAGUGGGGAAUCUUGCACAAUGGAGGAAACUCUGAUGCAGCGAUGCCGCGUGAGUGAAGAAGGCCCUUGGGUUGUAAAGCUCUUUCGUCGGGGAAGAAAAUGACUGUACCCGAAUAAGAAGGUCCGGCUAACUUCGUGCCAGCAGCCGCGGUAAUACGAAGGGACCUAGCGUAGUUCGGAAUUACUGGGCUUAAAGAGUUCGUAGGUGGUUGAAAAAGUUGGUGGUGAAAUCCCAGAGCUUAACUCUGGAACUGCCAUCAAAACUUUUCAGCUAGAGUAUGAUAGAGGAAAGCAGAAUUUCUAGUGUAGAGGUGAAAUUCGUAGAUAUUAGAAAGAAUACCAAUUGCGAAGGCAGCUUUCUGGAUCAUUACUGACACUGAGGAACGAAAGCAUGGGUAGCGAAGAGGAUUAGAUACCCUCGUAGUCCAUGCCGUAAACGAUGUGUGUUAGACGUUGGAAAUUUAUUUUCAGUGUCGCAGCGAAAGCGAUAAACACACCGCCUGGGGAGUACGACCGCAAGGUUAAAACUCAAAUGAUUUGACGGGGACCCCA
rnacentral:rRNA from 1 species